rnacentral:lncRNA from 1 species
UCCUUUUAGUUCUGGCUGCGUUUUCACAUAAACAGAGGUGGGUUACUAGUUUCUUGAUUAUUGUGUUCUGAGUUUCUACUGAAUUCAAAUUUUAUACUCGAUUUUUUUAUAAAAAAAAAUCAAUUGAUGAGCUGUGUUUUGGUGAAAAACAUGUUUCUAUAUCAAAAAAGUAAAGGUUUUAUUUUUCCUUCCAGCUUUUUACACUCAGGUCUGUUUUUUUUUUUUGUGCAACUCCUGAAGAUUAGUAAUCCAUUUUCUCUAAGUUGUAAGGUAAGGAAGAAGAAAGUUGGAGCAGGCCCUUGUUCAUUUCUUGGUGUAAUUUCAUAUAGGGAUUUUCUCGAGAGCUCGAAUUAAAGCUGAGCGCCCAUGUCACACAGAUACUAAUAUACCAUUUCUUUUGGUGGACUAGUCGUUAUUUGUUAAUUUUGGUUGCAACAUCAGUUAAUUCUUAUUUGCUUUAUGAAACUUACUGUUUUCUAGUUAGGUUUUGAUUACAAGAUCAUUUUCAGGCAUUAAUUUCAUGGGAUUGUAAUUAAUUUAGUCUUGUUGUAUAGUUUUGGCUCUAUGGGUAUAUGCUCUGUAAUUGCUUUUUUUCCCUCACAGUAAUCAUACAUUUCCUUGGGUUGCAAUUCAAAGAAUUUGUGUGAUAGACUAUUAUAUAUCCUUAUUACAUUUAUAUUUGUAUACAUUUUUUGCUAUUAAUUACCCUCUAAUAUAUACACCAAACCCCUUUUUAAUGACCUUUUCAAUAUAUAACUUUUGGUCUCUCUCAUUUUUCUCAGUCUUGUUAUCAAUCUGGUUACAUAGUAGGGAAAGAAAUCAACUCAAAACAGAUGUGUCUUAAAUUAUAAGAUGGGUUUAUGUGAUUAGUUUCUUCUCAAAAUAGUGAAUGUACACUUGGGUUGUAAUCCAACAAAAAUUAGGAAGCUGGUAAUUUGGUUCCUAUGAUCCAACUUAAUUUAAGAGCAUGAAAAUUCAUUUAUUGUCCAGCUGCUUCCUUCCAAAAGAAUAUAGUUAGUGUUAAUGUUGUGAGUCUGCUUCGAGUUAGACUAAUUUUCUUUGCAUGAAAAUUUACUUUCGACUGCUACACAUGCUCAUUAAUGGGCAUAGUGCAUAUUUAAUUUUAGAUCCAGAACAAAUUGUAUGUACAUGCUUUUAAAUAAUUUUAGCCUUUUAUUUAUAUUUUUAUUUUAUGUACAUGCUUUUAAUUUUAGUCUUUUAUUUAUGUUUUUAAUAUCUUUUAUUGGAAGUAGUUAAUUGCAAUUUUGAGGAUUAUGUUUGGUACCAUGUGAGCAGUUAAGCUAUUUUGUCAACAAAUUUGAUCUUCAGUUCAAAGUGUAGUCACUAGUCCAUAAAUGUUUUAAUAGUCACUGCCAUAGUAAUUUACAGAAUAGGUUAUCGGUUUCCAGCUUAUAGUGUUAUUGAAUGAUUUCAUGCUAAAUUAUUACCCCUGAAGCUCUUACUAGAUUAUUUUGUACCCAUCAGGCAAAAAUAAAAAUUUGUACGAAAAUUUUAACUUUCAAAUUUUUAGUCUGCAAUUGAGACAUCAUAGUUGGAUGUAGUUAAAUUCUGUAUUAUGUUGCUCUUUUUGUGUUGUUGCUAUGUUUUUCUCUAAUUCUCUUUACCAUAGUUUCUUUUGCUUUAAAUAGUCAUUAGAAAUUUCUAUUUUAUCUUGUUGCGACCGACUAUAGUUAUCUCUAACCAAUUCUUGGUAUUUUCCUGGCAACUUUGUUGUAUAGUUGAUUGUUCUUGUUUUGAUGCUUACUGUAAUUAUAAUUUUCUGACCAAUUCUUGCAUUUUUCUAAUGUCAGGUAAAUCUUUGAUUAGGUACUUUAAAAGAGAAUCUCUUAAAAAUAUUGGGUUUUGUUGAUUACUGGUGAUGGAUUGACAAUGUAAAGCUUGACUGUCUUAGUGUAAGUACUUGAUUAAGUAGUAGGACUAUCAAGUUUCUAGUCUCUGAUGCUGAUGAGGAAAGGAUGUCCACUUAUUGGAAUUUUUGAUAUAACUAGAUAUAGUAGAUUAAUUAGAGUUUGUUAAUCAUACUACAUUAAUUGAGUCGCCUUUUUCAGCUACUAUCUUUGUAUCACAUUGUGUCUACUGGCAUCCUAUUUAAGGCAUACAUUUUCGUGUUAGACAAGGUUGAAGGUUUUAAUGAAGCAUUUUCUUAGGAUAUGAAUUUCAGCUUUUUGGAUUAUAUAAUUUAGUUUUGUGGUACUUAGAUUAUUUAAACAAUUGUUUAUUGCUUAGCUAGUUGGGUAUUUUGUUGAAU